AGCGAACGCUGGCGGCAGGCCUAACACAUGCAAGUCGAGCGCCCCGCAAGGGGAGCGGCAGACGGGAGAGUAACACGUGGGAACGUACCCUUCGGUUCGGAACAACCCAGGGAAACUUGGGCUAAUACCGGCUACGUCCGACAGGAGAAAGAUUUAUCGCCGAGGGAUCGGCCCGCGUCUGAUUAGCUGGUUGGUGGGGUAACGGCCCACCAAGGCGACGAUCAGUCGCUGGUCUGAGAGGAUGAUCGGCCUCACUGGGACUGAGACACGGCCCAGACUCCUACGGGAGGCAGCAGUGGGGAAUAUUGGACAAUGGGCGCAAGCCUGAUCCAGCCAUGCCGCGUGGGUGAUGAAGGCCCUAGGGUUGUAAAGCCCUUUCGGCGGGGAAGAUAAUGACGGUACCCGCAGAAGAAGCCCCGGCUAACUUCGUGCCAGCAGCCGCGGUAACAC
rnacentral:rRNA from 1 species